rnacentral:piRNA from 1 species
UCCAGUCACAGUGAAGUCUAGAUUUAGGGU